AUGAUUUUUCGAGAGGCAUCCUGCAGAGAGAGUGUUCACCGUCCUAUAAAAGUAGACGAGUGUCGCAAAGCUCGUCCAAGUUCCAACCUGGGCCGCGAGCAAUUGACUAGUGCAAAACCACGAACGCAACUGGCAAGAUCGUCACUGCUAGCUAUGGACAACCAGCCACCGCAACCGCCACCUGCAAAGCCAACGGCGCCACCUGCAGAGCCAGCUGAGUCGAUGUCUCUCUCCCUCCUUAGGUGCAAUACACCACGACUACUGCACAUAUGUCGCGAAGCGAUGAAUUCCAGUCUAGGUGAACCAUGAAACCACAUUCCCAGUCUAGGUGCUUUCUCGUUCCUUAAGGGGUGGAAGCCCGGUUGGAAAAAAGCCACUAGGAGCACCAAGCAGAUGUGGUUGGGUGCUAGUGGCCGCUAUGGAAAUGGAUCAGCGUCUUUUGGGUUGGUCCAUGGAAGCUACUAGGAGGACUUCAAGCUAAUCCUCACUCGCCGCUCCACACGUGGGCGUUGCAUGACCCUGAAGAAACAAAUAUGUGGCCAUGACUCUCUAGUGGGAGCCGAGUAUAUGUCAUUCGUGUGGUGAACAAUUACAAUUAAAUAUUAAUCCUACUACCUCCGUUCUAAUGAAUAAAGUUUUAUAUUGUUUUUUAAAAGUUAAUCGAAGCAAAAUUUAAUAAAUCUUUUUAAAAAUAUAUCAACAAAUAUGAUAUUCAAUGGAUAUCAUAUAAAAAUAUAUUACAUGAUGUUUCUUAUAAUAUUGAUAUUGUAUGUUACAUGUUCAUGAUUUUUUAUGAACUUGGUGAAACUUUAAAUGGUUUGCUUUUCAAAAAUAAUAUAAGCCUUAAUCAUUGGAAUUGGAGGUAGUAGUAGAUUGUAUCUUUCAUUAUCUGUUUUGUAAGCUACGUCUGUACCUAAUAAUAAAUAAAGGGUUGUUUCUUCUA